UACGAAGGGGGCAAGCGUUGUUCGGAAUUACUGGGCGUAAAGGGCGCGUAGGCGGCCGAUCAAGUCAGGCGUGAAAUUCCCGGGCUCAACCUGGGGGCUGCGCUUGAUACUGAUUGGCUUGAAUGCGGGAGAGGAUAGUGGAAUUCCCAGUGUAGAGGUGAAAUUCGUAGAUAUUGGGAAGAACACCGGUGGCGAAGGCGACUACCUGGCCUGUUCUUGACGCUGAGGCGCGAAAGCUAGGGGAGCAAACGGG
rnacentral:rRNA from 1 species